AUUGAACGCUGGCGGCGUGCCUUACACAUGCAAGUCGGACGAGUGGCGAACGGGUGAGUAAUGUAUCGGAACGUACCGAGUAGUGGGGGAUAAAUGGCCGAAAGGAGAGCUAAUACCGCAUAAUAUUCGAGCGGCCGAUGGCUGAUGAGCUGGUUGGUGGGGUAAAGGCCCACCUAGGAGACGAUCACUAGCGGGUCUGAGAGGAUGAUCCGCCAAACUUGGACUGAGACACGGCCCAGACUCCUACGGGAGGCAGCAGUGGGGAAUUUUGCACAAUGGGCGCAAGCCUGAUGCAGCCAUGCCGCGUGUAUGAAGAAGGCCUUCGGGUUGUAAAGGACUUUUGUCAGGGAAGCGUUACCUGCAGAAUAAGCACCGGCUAACUACGUGCCAGCAGCCGCGGUAAUUC
rnacentral:rRNA from 1 species